UACAGAGGGUGCAAGCGUUAAUCGGAAUUACUGGGCGUAAAGCGUGCGUAGACGGUUAUGUAAGUCAGGUGUGAAAGCCCCGGGCUCAACCUGGGAAUUGCAUUUGAGACUGCAUAGCUAGGGUGCGGAAGAGGGAAGCGGAAUUUCCGGUGUAGCGGUGAAAUGCGUAGAUAUCGAGAGGAACACCUGCGGCGAAGGCGGGUUGCUGGGCUGACACUGACGCUGAGGCGCGAAAGCUAGGGGAGCGAACGGG
rnacentral:rRNA from 1 species